rnacentral:tRNA from 1 species
UCCUGGUGGCUGACAUGGUAAAGAAUCUACCUCCAAUGCAGGAGACCCAGGUUCGAUCCCUGGGUCAGGAA